rfam:Cavia porcellus supercont2_1 genomic scaffold, whole genome shotgun sequence.
GGAGAUUUAGCUCAGCGGCAUAAGCGCCUGCCUUGCAAGCAGGCAGUCAUCAGUUCAAUCCCUGGUACCG